rnacentral:snRNA from 1 species
GUGCUCCCUUCAGCAGCACAUAUACUAAAAUUGGAAUGAUACAGAGAAGAUUAGCAUGGCCCCUGCACAAGGAUGACACACAAAUUCGUGAUGGAUCUUGUUUCUUG